CUCCAAAUUGAGGACACGUCCUGAGAUACUGGAGGUGAGCACAUGGGCGAGCGUGCUGAGUCCUGUCCAACUCUCUUGUGACAGGUUCCUCUGUCCAUGGGAUUCUCCAGCCAGGAACACGUGAUUCUCUUGUGUCUGCCGCAUCAGCAGGUGGGUUCUUUACCACUGCCACCACCUGGGAAGCCUCACCUGGGAGGUGAGGAUGUAAAUUGGGGGGAGACACAGUUCAGCCCAUAGCACCACCUCUGUGCUUCUGAGCCCAUGUAACUCUCCUAAACUAUAGAGAUGCCUCGUCAUCAUUGGCCAGAUUGCUCCACUUGAAUGCCCCACGUAACCCUUCAUGUUUUCUGGCUUCUACGCACUUUUUGCUCUGUUUGGGGAGUUUCCAGCCACUUGAAUCUCGUUUCCACCCCACAGGUAUUUUCCAGCCUCUUUUGUGGUCAGGCUCAGGCCCGCGAGCUAUUCUCCACCAAGAGGACUUGCCCUAUGAAACGCUGAUUCAGAAGGAGCAGUUUGAGGAAGGAGGAGGCUUGGAGUGGAGACCGUUUCCCCAGCAGUGGCAGAGGCUUUCAGGGAUACGGCAGUUGCAAGUCGAGUGGAGCUCUGGAUUCCCAAAGAUGAAAAGUUGCAGAACAGAGAAUAAUAUUUGUUUGGUGGAAGGUUUCUGGGAACACUGUGACCUGAGCUAUGCGGACAGCUACAAGAACAAAGGAUUCCAGCACCAAGAAGUUUGCCGUAACCGCCCCCCUUCCCCUUUUAGUAUCAAAGAAGCCGCAGUUCUACUUCAGGGAUCUCAGCCAAGAACUCAUAAAUGUAAAAAGGAAAAUUAUUUCUUCCCCUACAGAGUCAAGAUUGUGGGGAAGUUUUGCUAUGUGAUGUGUACUAUAAUUUUAGGAAAAAUGCUCAUUAUUCAUCUUUGCCUUCAGAGGUUGCAUGUGUGUGUUUUAGGGUGAUUAUGUGUGAGUUUGAUUUGAAGUCUUUAAAACACUUUUUAAAAUUUUGAAAGUAUGAUAAUACAUUUACAGGAAACUUGGAAAAUACAG
ensembl:lncRNA